GCCAGGCAUGGUGGCGGGUGCCUGUAAUCCCAGCUACUCAGGAGGCUGAGGCAGGAGAAUCGCUUGAACCCAGGGGGCGGAGGUUGCAGUGAGCUGAGAUCACGUUACUGCACUCCAGCCUGGGUGACAGAGUGAGACUCUGUCUCAA
ensembl:misc_RNA Metazoa_SRP Metazoan signal recognition particle RNA